rnacentral:rRNA from 1 species
GAUGAACGCUGGCGGCGUGCCUAAUACAUGCAAGUCGAGCGAACGGACGAGCAGCUUGCUUCUCUGAUGUUAGCGGCGGACGGGUGAGUAACACGUGGAGAACCUACCUAUAAGACUGGGAUAACUUCGGGAAACCGGAGCUAAUACCGGAUGAUAUUUUGAACCGCAUGGUUCAACAGUGAAAGACGGUCUUGCUGUCACUUACAGAUGGAUCCGCGCUGCAUUAGCUAGUUGGUAAGGUAACGGCUUACCAAGGCAACGAUGCAUAGCCGACCUGAGAGGGUGAUCCGCCACACUGGAACUGAGACACGGUCCUGACUCCUACGGGAGGCAGCAGUAGGGAAUCUUACGCAAUGGGCGAAAGCCUGACGGAGCAACGCCGCGUGAGUGAUGAAGGUCUUCGGAUCGUAAAACUCUGUUAUUAGGGAAGAACAUAUGUGUAAGUAACUGUGAACAUCUUGACGGUACCUAAUCAGAAAGCCACGGCUAACUACGUG